rnacentral:rRNA from 1 species
GAUCAUGGCUCAGGACGAACGCUGGCGGCGUGCUUAACACAUGCAAGUCGAACGGAAAGGCCCUGCUUUUGUGGGGUGCUCGAGUGGCGAACGGGUGAGUAACACGUGAGUAACCUGCCCUUGACUUUGGGAUAACUUCAGGAAACUGGGGCUAAUACCGGAUAGGAGCUCCUGCUGCAUGGUGGGGUUGGUAAGUUUACGGUCGGUUGGGGUAGUGGACGUCGCGGCUUAUCAGCUUGUUGGUGGGGUAGGUGGCGUU